GAUGAACGCUGGCGGCGUGCCUAAUACAUGCAAGUCGAGCGAACAGACGAGGAGCUUGCUCCUCUGACGUUAGCGGCGGACGGGUGAGUAACACGUGGAUAACCUACCUAUAAGACUGGGAUAACUUCGGGAAACCGGAGCUAAUACCGGAUAAUAUAUUGAACCGCAUGGUUCAAUAGUGAAAGACGGUUUUGCUGUCACUUAUAGAUGGAUCCGCGCCGCAUUAGCUAGUUGGUAAGGUAACGGCUUACCAAGGCAACGAUGCGUAGCCGACCUGAGAGGGUGAUCGGCCACACUGGAACUGAGACACGGUCCAGACUCCUACGGUAGGCAGCAGUAGGGAAUCUUCCGCAAUGGGCGAAAGCCUGACGGAGCAACGCCGCGUGAGUGAUGAAGGUCUUCGGAUCGUAAAACUCUGUUAUUAGGGAAGAACAAAUGUGUAAGUAACUAUGCACGUCUUGACGGUACCUAAGCAGAAAGCCACGGCUAACUACGU
rnacentral:rRNA from 1 species